CCCUUAGAUGUCCGGGGCUGCACGCGCGCUACACUGAAGGAAUCAGUGUGCUAAAACCAUUGUCGAAAGGCAUUGGUAAACCCAUUAAAAUCCUACGUGAUUGGGAUCGGGAAUUGCAAUUAUUUCCCUUGAACGAGGAAUUCCCAGUAAGUGUGGGUCAUAAGCUCGCGUUGAUUACGUCCCUGCCCUUUGUACACACCGCCCGUCGCUGCCCGGGACUGAGCCGUUUCGAGAAAAGCGGGGACUGCUGCUGUCGGGGCUUUCGGGCCUUGGCUUCGGUGGAAACCGCUUUAAUCGCAGUGGCUUGAACCGGGCAAAAGUCGUAACA
rnacentral:rRNA from 1 species